UAAAAAAAUGAUGAGUUCAUGUCCUUUGUA
rnacentral:piRNA from 1 species